CAAGAAAACAAGGCAACGAGAAAAAUUAGACUACAGUGUUAAGAAGCAAAGAUCCAGCACCACACGUUGAUUAGCACCCCUGGAUGUGGGACACUGUUACAGAACCAGAAAGAAACCCAAGACAGUCCCUUCCUUGAGGAACAAUCACCGUCCAAAGCCAGGUUAGUUUCCUUUGGAAGUAGAAAGAAAACUCCCUCGAGUCAGUUGUCAAUAUAGUAACCCCCUCCUCCUUUCUGUAACUCCUGGUCAAAAGUAUUGAUACUUAAUUUACAGUCAGAGCAGCUGUCGUUCUGACACGGAAGGAAAACAAACAAAAAAAUUCCUUUGAUCAGACCAACUUAAAGUAGGAAAGAGAUGGUGAAUUUCAUUUGUGGAUCACUCUUCUGCAUAAGAGAAUUUCUGAUCUUUUCUGUAGAUCAAGGGCUAUAUAUGAAACCACUCAAAUGCCUCGACACGAGAAUGGAUGCAUAAAUUGUGAUCCAUUCACAUAGGGAAUGAAUGUUGUAUAGCACUGAUAAUGAACAGCCUAUGACUAUAGCCAACAAUAUGGUUGGAUCUCAUAAUAUGACGCUGAGCAAAAGAAGCCAGACGUGAAAGUGUAUAUCCUGCCGGCUCCCAUUAAUGCAAAGCACAAAAUUAGCAAAAGUCGUCUGUGCUGUUGGAAGCAAGAGUAGCAGUUUCCCAGAGGGGAUGGUAAUGACUUCCAGGGGCCAGCGGGGGGCUUGGUGAUGGUCCAUUCUUGAUCUGGGUGGUGCUAGGCUUAUGUGCACACUUCCCUAUUUAUGUAAUUUUUCAAUAAAAAGUUUUAAAAUAACUUGGCUUCAUUUAUCAUCAGCAUCUUUAAUUUUAAGACUUUUCCGCAUUGUCAGUUCUUUUGUCAUUUUACUGAAAGGAGGUGAUUAUGGGGCAGACUUUGGGAAACCGAAGCACAGAGAGGUCGAAAUUUGCUCUGUAACUUAGCGGCUCGGUGGGGACCUAGGGACAGAUCCUGGUUUUCAGGCUUCCAGCUGGGGGCUCCCUCUCUGAAAGCCACCACAGUGCCAGAGUUCACCCAGUGUUCCCAGGGCAGCUGUAGAGGCCACCACUCUUUCAGCAUCCCUCUCCUGCCUUUAUAAACCUCCAAAGUGAACUCACUGAUUUUUUUAAUUGAAAAAGGGCAUUUACGCUGUGCCCAGCCUAGUGCUAGGCAUAUAGUAGGUACUAAAUAACUAAUUUCUGAAUAUAUACAUUUCCUUAUAAAAUAGCCAAAAUAGAAUAUUACUAUAAUGUUCUAUAUAUCAUAGAAUAUAUAUGUGAUGUAUAUUCAUUGCUAGUAUGUAUUUUCUAAACUUUUUUUUUUCCC
rnacentral:lncRNA from 1 species